ACGUACACUCCUACGGGAGGCAGCAGUGGGGAAUUUUGGACAAUGGGCGAAAGCCUGAUCCAGCCAUGCCGCGUGCAGGAUGAAGGCCUUCGGGUUGUAAACUGCUUUUGUACGGAACGAAACGGCCUUUUCUAAUAAAGAGGGCUAAUGACGGUACCGUAAGAAUAAGCACCGGCUAACUACGUGCCAGCCGCCGCGGUAAUACGUAGGGUGCAAGCGUUAAUCGGAAUUACUGGGCGUAAAGCGUGCGCAGGCGGUUAUGUAAGACAGUUGUGAAAUCCCCGGGCUCAACCUGGGAACUGCAUCUGUGACUGCAUAGCUAGAGUACGGUAGAGGGGGAUGGAAUUCCGCGUGUAGCAGUGAAAUGCGUAGAUAUGCGGAGGAACACCGAUGGCGAAGGCAAUCCCCUGGACCUGUACUGACGCUCAUGCACGAAAGCGUGGGGAGCAAACAGGAUUAGAUACCCUUGUAGUCCCAUG
rnacentral:rRNA from 1 species